GUUGAAAAUUAGCACCCGCCACCAGCCAAUGGCGGGUACUUUUUCAAAGUGGCGGGUGACUUUGCCUUGUAUACCAGCCACAGUGGCAGGUGGAGUGUAAAACAUAUUUAG